AAGAAAUUUGCCAGGAAAUAUGAAUGAUUAGUUUUAGAAUUCUCAGCUUUUUAUCAUGAAUUCAUUUUGCCUUUAAAGUGAUAUUUCCUCUACAAUAGAACUUGACUAGAUGUGUUUAUGACACACUGCACUGUACAUUUAUUUUACAUGCAUAAAAUAUCUAUUAAUAUAUAGUAGGUAUAAAAUCUCUAAAAAUAUGGCUUCCUUAUUUAUGUAAGAAGUCUAAACACAAAUGUCAUUUGUUCUGUUUGUGAAUAGAUCAUGUUGGCUUUCUGUGGAGUUAGCAGAGACAUUGGAAUCCCCAGGGGAGGAAAUGAAUAGACCAUGAACUUACACACAUUCUCAUAUUCAUUCAUUUUCUCUUUCUCUUUCUCCCCCCCCCCCCCUUCCGCCCUGGUGUUGUAAACAGAAAGGCUGGAUACGAUAGGCUAUGCUGCUCAAUGAGCUAACUGUUUAGCAUCAUGAACUGGCAUGCCCUACUUCCAACUGUGUGUCCCCCACAUUAUUUACUUUUAUUAGAAGUUAUUAAAAUACAAAGCAAUAAUAUUUUUCUAUUUGAGUAAUUUUAUUUAUUCAAAUCAAGUAGACAAAUCAAGUAGUAUUGAUACUGCAGUAAGGAGUUCUUGAAUAUCUUCUACUUCCUUGCCUCUCUUUUAAUAAGGGACUUUAGCAGCCAGGAGCAGAUAUAAAGGGACCAGAGUUAAGUCAACUAUGAUGUGUCUUUCCAUUUCAUGCAUGUAGUGUUUAAAUAUGUUUGGUCCAGGGAGUGGCACUAUUUGGAGGUGUAGCCCUGUUGGAGUAGGUGUGUCACUGUGGGUGUGGUCUUUAAGACCCUCUUCCUAGCUGCCUGUCCCUGUUUGCCUUUGGAUGAAGAUGUAGAACUCCCAGCUCCUGCUGCAACAUGCCUCCCUGGAUGCUGCCAUGUUCCCACCUUGAUGAAACUGGACUGAACCUCUGAACAUAUAAGCCAGCCCCAAUUAAAUGUUGUUUUUAUAAGAGUUGCCUUGGUCAUGGUAUCUGUUCACAGCAGUAAAGACAGCCCUAAGAAAAGCCCUAAGACAGAAGUUGGUAUCAGAGACUGGAUUAUUGCUGUGAUAGGCCUGACCAUGCUUUUGUUUGAAAGAAUGUGGAUUUGGGGACUUUUUGAUUUGGAAAGCCAUGGAAUGUUUUAGGAGAGACUUAAUGAGCCAUCCUAGUAGGAAUAUGGAAGACUUUGUUGCUGUGAGUGAUUUGACUGUGCAGACCUGGCCUGAGAAGUUUCAGUGGAGAAGAAUUUAUGUGACCUAGAAGCUGUUUUUGUGGAUGAAGAAUGUGGCUGCCUUUUGCCCUUGUCUGAAGAGUCUGCUUGAGGCUAAGGUGAAGAAACUCAGAUUAAUUGCAUUGACAAAGGAAGUCUCAGAAACACCAUCAUAGACUGUAUUCUCUGCUUAAAUCUCAUGAAGAGCAUUUUGCAUAAGCAUAGCAAACGUGGGAAGGAAAAAUAUAAAAUGUAUUGUUUGAGUAUUAAAAGGACACCAGGAAGUGAACAUAGCUGAAUCCUGUGUUCAAGGAUAUUAAAUUGAAUUAAGAAAGUGGUGACCCUGGGGCAAGAUCUCACCUACCUAAGUUUAAGUCAAGGCCUGGUGCUAUACACCUUUAAUCCCAGGAGACAGAGCCUUGCAGAUCUCUGAGUUCAAGGUCAAUCUACAGAGCAAGUUCCAGGAUAGCCAAGCUUUGGCAGUGAGGAGCUGGGAAACAGAAAGCUAGUAAUAGAAUAAUGGAGGCCAUGUUCCAGCCCCAGCAGGUAACAGACUUGGACUUUAGUGCUGAUAUAUUUUUGUUAAUUUUUUUAUAUGUUUACUUUCUAUCCAAAACUCUAGCUUAUUCUCUAUUAUACUUAAUAGAAAGGUUUGAGGUCAUUUCUUUAUUAUUAACUAUUUUACUAUUUUGCCUGCUGAUAUCAUCUUUUGAGUGGAAAAACAAAAGGUGUACUGUUACAGGGUAUAUGAGUGGUUCUAUCUGAAGGUCUGAAUUAUCACUUGUAUUCUUCCUGUUUUCUCUUUAUUAUUAUUUUAAAUCAGUAGUAUGAGAUAGUAUGGUCCCCUUUACAUUUUUUUAAACCUUGUAUAUAUAAUUGAGAGGCUGUAUGUCUAAAGAAAUAAAUGUAAGAUCCUUAUUUUAGCAUGCAGAUUUUUAGCCUUUUUUUUAAAUCUUGUCCUCCCAUUAAAUUAGAAUAAUUUUCUUCCUUGUUUAGAUGUUUUGGUGGUUUUCGUUUGUUUUUGUUUUUUGUUUUUAUUUUUGUUUCACUUUGUUUUGGUUUUUUGAGACAGGGUUUCUCUGUAUAGCCCUGGCUGUCUUGUAUUUUUUCCUGUAAUAAGUGUAUUGAAAGCUUUGAGGAAAGGGCAAGUGCUGCUGUGGGAACCCAUUUACAUUUGGUUGGUAUCCUCCCCACACCUCCAUUUAGGUCAUGGCAGUGUUCAUGUUUAAGGUCUGAAAGCUGUUACUUGAUUAUUUACUACAGGUUGGGUCAAACACACUGAUGGUUGGUUCAUCAUUUGUUUAUUCCUCACAUUUUCUGUUUCCUGUGAUGGAACCGUUUUGAAAGA
rnacentral:lncRNA from 1 species